GGUAGUGUAUUGGACUACCAUGGCAGUCACGGGUAACGGAGAAUUAGGUUCGAUCCGGAGAGGGAGCCUGAGAAACGGCUACCACAUCUACGGAAGGCAGCAGGCGCGCAAAUUGCCCAAUCCCGACACGGGGAGGCAGUGACAAGAAAUAACAACUCUUGGAUUUCUAAGAAGUGUAAAUGAGGAUAAUUUACAACCCUUACCGAAAGCAAUUGGAGGGCAAGUCUGGUGCCAGCAGCCGCGGUAAUUCCAGCUCCAAUAGCGUAUAUUAAAGUUGUUGCAGUUAAAAAGCUCGUAGUUGAAGUUCUGAUUGUUCGGGCCUCGCGCUUUAUAGCCGAGGAACCGACAGUCAUCCGCUUGCAAAUAUAUGUUCGCCUUUAACCGGGUGGCUAUAUGAGUAAGCAAUUUACCUUGAGAAAAACAGAGUGUUCCAGGCAGGUUUGUCCGGAAUGCAUUAGCAUGGAAUAAUAGAAUAUGACUGAAGUCGAUUUAUUGGUUUAAGGCUUUAGUAAUGAUUAAUAGGAACAGUCGGGGGC
rnacentral:rRNA from 1 species